AUACGGAGGGGGCUAGCGUUGUUCGGAUUUACUGGGCGUAAAGCGCGCGUAGGCGGUAUAUCAAGUUAGGCGUGAAAGCCCCGGGCUCAACCCGGGAACUGCGCUUAUUACUGAUAAACUAGAGUCCGGGAGAGGGUGGCGGAAUUCCCAGUGUAGAGGUGAAAUUCGUAGAUAUUGGGAAGAACACCAGUGGCGAAGGCGGCCACCUGGACCGGUACUGACGCUGAGGCGCGAAAGCGUGGGGAGCAAACAGGAUUAGAAACCCCGGUAGUCC
rnacentral:rRNA from 1 species